rnacentral:lncRNA from 1 species
UAUAAAUGCCCGUUAAAGCAAGAGCUCUUGUGUUUCUGUUCCUGUGGAGUGCAGCUGAAAUGACCGCUACUGCUCCUUCACAGUAUAUUUACAUGAGCUUCCUGUGGACAUCAGCACCAUUUAAAAUUAAGGCUGGAACACAGAUGUGGGGCUGGAAGUGGAGCAGCCCCUUUUAGCCAUGAGGCCCAAAGCCACAUGCUAAGGAUGGUGAAGCAGGGGAUAGAAAGAGCCUGUGUCUUUGCUGACUUCCUUAAGCCACGGCACCAGCCUGGGCCUGCCCUACUCUGGACAUCUAAAUGUCAGGAGCUAAGAAUCAAGUCAGUCUAGAGGUGUUCGUUGCCAUGUGGAGAGAUCCUUCCCAAGAAGAAAGAUGCUACAAAGUGUCCUGGAAAUCCUCUUUGCCCAUCCAGAUCCACCCUCCCUAGCCUGCUCUGUACCUCAGGAAGCUGCUUUUCAUGGUUCACAUAAACCAGGCUCCUGUACCCUCCAGAUAGGUCCAUCCUAUGGGUGGUACCAGCAGGAGACCAGAGAGAUGAAGGAGGGAAAAAAAGAACAUUAGGGGUUGAAUUGUAUCACCCCAAAAUUCAUAUGGUGAAGUAUAACCCCUUCGGAAUGUAACCUUAUUGGAAAUGUCAGAGGCACGUGAACCAGAGCAACUCCAUCUUGAAUAGGGGCUGGGUAAAAUGAGGCUGAGACCUAUUGGGCUGCAUUCCCAGACGGUUAAGGCAUUCCAAGUCACAGGAUGAGAUAGGAGGUUGGCACAACAUAUAGGUCAUAAAGACCUUGCUGAUGAAACAGUUGCAGUAAAGAAGCCAGUCAAAGCGCACCAAAACCAAGAUGGCGACAAGAGUGACCUCUGGGCAUCCUCACUGCUACACUCCCAGCAGCACCAUGACAGUUUACAAAUGCCAUGGCAACAUCAGAAAGUUACCCUAGAUCAUCUAAACAUGGGAGGCAUGAAUAAUCCACCCCUUGCUUAGCAUAUACUCAAGAAAUAACCAUAAAAAUGGGCAGCCAGCAGCCCUCGGGGCUGCUCUGUUUAUGGAGUAGGCAUUCUUUUAUUCCUGCACUUUCCUAAUAAACUUGCUUUCACUUUA